rnacentral:lncRNA from 1 species
ACUUCCGGGGUGAAACAAACAAAAACGAAAGGCUACCACUGUAGGGCAGGCGAACAAGCAACUGUCGACCAAACCUGCGUGCACACACACUCACACACACACACACACACACACACACACACACACGUUCCUCUCUUUUUCCAAAAAGCCCUCACGGUAAAUAGCCAGGCAGACAAAAGCCUGGGUUUCCGUAUUGCUUUUGUAUGCAGUGGCAGGAAGCAGUUGUCAGCUGCAUCAGUGAAAAAUAACAACGGCAAACACUCAGACACCCAGACACAUGCCACAAUGUUCCCGUGGAAAUCAAACUCUGAGAAAUUUUUAAAAUGUUUUCAACACAUCAGCAUGAAGCAUCGACCUAGUUGGAAUCACUUAGAUCUAAAGCAAAUGCACUGAUUGUUUUCACAGCAGGCUUUUCUUCUUGGAGCUGAAACAGGCGCACUGGCGAGGCUGGCAAGGAACGGUUUUCCAGCCCCCUGCCUUGGUCGGCUAUAGCCUGUGACACGAUCAAUACCGGGGCGAGCGGCGGAGGAAGCUCAGGGAAGAUUAUGAAGAUGAGAGAGGAGUUUUAAGCCUCAGUGUGGUUAAUCAUCUCCAUCACCCUUGUCAUCUGCAUCACCCUCGUCAUCCCAUCACCCUCGUCAACUCCAUCACCCUCAACUCCAUCCCCCUCGUCAUCUCCAUCACCCUCGUCAACUCCAUCACCCUCGUCAACUCCAUCACCCUCGUCAACUCCAUCACCCUCGUCAACUCCAUCACCCUCGUCAUCUCCAUCACCCUCGUCAUCUCCAUCACCCUCAACUCCAUCACCCUCAACUCCAUCACCCUCGUCAUCUGCAUCACCCUCGUCAUCUGCAUCACCCUCAACUCCAUCACCCUCAACUCCAUCACCCUCGUCAACUCCAUCACCCUCAUCAUCUGCAUCACCACUAUCUGCAUCACCAUCAUCAUCAUGUCUCCCAACCCAUCACCCAUUCUCCACAACCUUCAAGUCUUAGCUUAAACAUGGCCUUCUUGCAUUUCCCCAUCUAAAUUCGGAUGCCCACAUUCAAUCAUAAUUCACCAU